AUACUUACCUGGCAGGAGAUACCAUGAUCAUAAGGUGGUUCACCCAGGCGAGACUCAGCCAUUGACGCCGGUUGUGGCUGACCGUGCGAAUUACCCAAAUGUGGGAAUCUGACUGCAUAAUUUGUGGUAGUGGGGAAUAAAUCGGCGCUCUCCCCU